GAUGAACGCUGGCGGCGUGCCUAAUACAUGCAAGUCGAGCGAACGGACGAGAAGCUUGCUUUUCUGAUGUUAGCGGCGGACGGGUGAGUAACACGUGGAUAACCUACCUAUAAGACUGGGAUAACUUCGGGAAACCGGAGCUAAUACCGGAUAAUAUUUUGAACCGCAUGGUUCAAAAGUGAAAGACGGUCUUGCUGUCACUUAUAAAUGGAUCCGCGCUGCAUUAGCUAGUUGGUAAGGUAACGGCUUACCAAGGCAACGAUGCAUAGCCGACCUGAGAGGGUGAUCGGCCACACUGGAACUGAGACACGGUCCAGACUCCUACGGGAGGCAGCAGUAGGGAAUCUUCCGCAAUGGGCGAAAGCCUGACGGAGCAACGCCGCGUGAGUGAUGAAGGUCUGCGGAUCGUAAAACUCUGUUAUUAGGGAAGAACAUAUGUGUAAGUAACUGUGCACAUCUUGACGGUACCUAAUCAGAAAGCCACGGCUAACUACGU
rnacentral:rRNA from 1 species